GACGAACGCUGGCGGCGUGCUUAACACAUGCAAGUCGAACGGAAAGGCCCUGCUUUUGUGGGGUGCUCGAGUGGCGAACGGGUGAGUAGCACGUGAGUAACCUGCCCUUGACUUUGGGAUAACUUCAGAAAACUGGGGCUAAUACCGGAUAGGAGCUCCUGCUGCAUGGUGGGGGUUGGAAAGUUUCGGCGGUUGGGGAUGGACUCGCGGCUUAUCAGCUCGUUGGUGGGGUAGUGGCUUACCAAGGCUUUGACGGGUAGCCGGCCUGAGAGGGUGACCGGCCACAUUGGGACUGAGAUACGGCCCAGACUCCUACGGGAGGCAGCAGUGGGGAAUAUUGCACAAUGGGCGAAAGCCUGAUGCAGCAACGCCGCGUGCGGGAUGACGGCCUUCGGGUUGUAAACCGCUUUCGCCUGUGACGAAGCGUGAGUGACGGUAAUGGGUAAAGAAGCACCGGCUAACUACGUGCCAGCAGCCGCGGUGAUACGUAGGGUACGAGCGUUGUCCGGAUUUAUUGGGCGUAAAGGGCUCGUAGGUGGUUGAUCGCGUCGGAAGUGUAAUCUUGGGGCUUAACCCUGAGCGUGCUUUCGAUACGGGUUGACUUGAGGAAGGUAGGGGAGAAUGGAAUUCCUGGUGGAGCGGUGGAAUGCGCAGAUAUCAGGAGGAACACCAGUGGCGAAGGCGGUUCUCUGGGCCUUUCCUGACGCUGAGGGGCGAAAGCGUGGGGAGCGAACAGGCUUAGAUACCCUGGUAGUCCACGCUGUAAACGGUGGGUACUAGGUGUGGGGUCCAUUCCACGGGUUCCGUGCCGUAGCUAACGCUUUAAGUACCCCGCCUGGGGAGUACGGCCGCAAGGCUAAAACUCAAAGGAAUUGACGGGGCCCCGCACAAGCGGCGGAGCAUGCGGAUUAAUUCGAUGCAACGCGUAGAACCUUACCUGGGUUUGACAUGGAUCGGGAGUGCUCAGAGAUGGGUGUGCCUCUUUUGGGGUCGGUUCACAGGUGGUGCAUGGCUGUCGUCAGCUCGUGUCGUGAGAUGUUGGGUUAAGUCCCGCAACGAGCGCAACCCUUGUUCACUGUUGCCAGCACGUUAUGGUGGGGACUCAGUGGAGACCGCCGGGGUCAACUCGGAGGAAGGUGGGGAUGUCGUCAAGUCAUCAUGCCCCUUAUGUCCAGGGCUUCACGCAUGCUACAAUGGCUGGUACAGAGAGUGGCGAGCCUGUGAGGGUGAGCGAAUCUCGGAAAGCCGGUCUCAGUUCGGAUUGGGGUCUGCAACUCGACCUCAUGAAGUCGGAGUCGCUAGUAAUCGCAGAUCAGCAACGCUGCGGUGAAUACGUUCCCGGG
rnacentral:rRNA from 1 species